AUCAUCUUUACCGGACACGCUUGUUCAAAACCAGAAAAGAGUACUUGUAGGGGUCUUUGCAUACAAACUGUGAUUGGGACCGCCGAGAGGUUUGAUACGACGAGGGAGAAACACAAGUGAAAAUCGUUAUUUAAGAUAACCUAGAUGCCUAAUCGUCUUUUUAAGAUAAGAUACCCGGUUUGGCGAUCGUGGCAGAUGAUACAGACUGGAUGAAGCUAUACGUGGACCGCAUGUGAACUCAAGCAUCUACAGGUGGAAGGAUGCUGUGCUGUGAAGUCUCUCAAGCUCCUGUCCACCCUCACUCAAGCAGAGCUUCAGUUUACUGGAGGCCAGCCCUUUCAUUUCUCAAGCCCGACGAUGUCAGGAGUUCAAGGACGUAGCUGGGCAGGAUGUUCGAGGCAUUUUGAACACGGUGUACAAAAAUGUUUCCUGCCAGCAAAACUUGUCCCUUCCAUAAUGGGCAGCAUCAUGCCCAGAAAACCCUGCCAACCCUGCAGCAGCAGCCGCUGGUACAGUCGCAGGUCACAACCAAAGUUCAGCCUGGUCCUCCACCUGCUGCACAUAUCCCAUUCUUGAUACCUGAGCUGCUGCAGUACGACCUGAACUAACGAUGAUGAGCUUCCCACUGCUCAUCAUCAUGACCCAAAUCCUGCCUCUGGUAUGCCGGUCAUAUCCCAGCUUCUGUCAGGGGACCUGAAAACCUGCAUGCAGGUUCUUUUGCAGAUGUAUGAUGGUUAACAGUACUGCAGCUGCACGUCAUCCACAGCAUGAACACUGAUGACCAUUGUGGACUUUGGGAAGACAUCUUGAAGCUCUACAGCUGUAUUUAGGGCAAAUUGCUGGUGAGCAACACAGGGGGAAGGCCUGUUGUGCUACAUUUAUCUUCAAAUAAAUUUUGGCUUUACUGUCAUUACUACAAAAAAGGGGGGGGGCAUGAUCCAAACACAUCCUGUAGUAAAUAUGAACAAGCUCUGUUGUAUGUGUCUACCAUCCUUUUCAUAGCAUUUAGCUGCUCAGUAAUCCUUUGAGUCAAGCAGCUUGCAGUGGCAGAAUGGGUUGACAGUGUCUGUGGAUUCCUCUGAAGGGAUUGCAGUUUUUGUGAUUUCCUUGCAUCAUCAGAGGCCAUAGCUCAUCAUAAAUAUCUGCAUGCUCUCUGUGGUUGUAGCCAGCAGUGGGUCUCAGACCUGAUAAUGUGUGUAUUUGGUUAAAGCUUAGGCCGGGCAAUAAUAAGUAAUAUUAAAAGCAAGAAUAUCUUGGGGGGGGGGGUGUUGGUGUUGGUGUGAACUGCGGUAUUGACGCCGAUUCUGACCUUAUGACCUUUACAGAAUCGGUAUUAACAGGACAUGAGUGGAUCAUAAUGAAUCGAUAAACUUUUUUUUUUUUUUUUUU